GCGAGUUUCGACUCUCAAACCACUGUGCAUCAAUACUAUUUCUGCUGAGGCGGGCCGCUCGCUCGGGGAGCUUAGGCCUGUAAAGGUGGUCCGCCGAAGCAUCUUUUACGCUCUUUUAAACUGUAAAGAGAAAACUUUCAAAAAAUCA
rnacentral:misc_RNA from 1 species